rnacentral:misc_RNA from 1 species
CCUUGUGGAGGAGGACGCCGAAGGUGGGGCUAAUGACUGGGGUGAAGUCGUAACAAGGUAGCCGUACCGGAAGGUGCGGCUGGAUCACCUCCUAACAGGGAGACAACAAAAUGUUUAAUAUUAUUAUUUUGUCACCUUAGGUCGAUCGGUAUCUCACGUUCUUAAUCUAUUAAGAAUUUCAUUUCCUAAGUUUUUCUAGGUCACACCCAUUAUUUUUCCUGGGCCAUUAGCUCAGGUGGUUAGAGCGCACCCCUGAUAAGGGUGAGGUCCCUGGUUCAAGUCCAGGAUGGCCCAUAUCUCUAUGUUGGGGGUAUAGCUCAGUUGGUAGAGCGCCUGCUUUGCAAGCAGGAUGUCAGCGGUUCGAGUCCGCUUACCUCCACUGAUUACCACCUCUUCCAUAAUCUGUAGAAAGGAAAUGUUUUGAGUUGUGAUCAAAUUCUGAACGAAUCUAGCUUCCUAAUGAAAUCAUUAAGAUGCUGGACUCAUUGAAUUAAUUUCAUUGUUUUCAGAGAACCUUGACAACUGCAUAGAUUAUUUUUAAAGACAAUAAGCAUCUUUAAUGAUGCAGAUUUAUUAUUUGUGCGAAUGCAUUAAUAACAAUUCUAUUAAGCUGAUGCUUCAAUUUUGAAGUUAUUGGUCAAGCUACAAAGGGCUCACGGAGGA